UACGAAGGGGACUAGCGUUGUUCGGAAUCACUGGGCGUAAAGCGCACGUAGGCGGAUUUGUAAGUCAGGGGUGAAAUCCCGGGGCUCAACCUCGGAACUGCCUUUGAUACUGCGAAUCUCGAGUCCGAUAGAGGUGGGUGGAAUUCCUAGUGUAGAGGUGAAAUUCGUAGAUAUUAGGAAGAACACCGGUGGCGAAGGCGGUCUGCUGGGGUGAGGCUGACGCUGAGGCGCGACAGCGUGGGGAGCAAACAGG
rnacentral:rRNA from 1 species